GACGAACGCUGGCGGCGUGCUUAACACAUGCAAGUCGAACGGAAAGGCCUCUUUCGGGGGGUACUCGAGUGGCGAACGGGUGAGUAACACGUGAGUAACCUGCCCUUGACUUUGGGAUAACUUCAGGAAACUGGGGCUAAUACCGGAUAGGAGCUCCUGCUGCAUGGUGGGGGUUGGAAAGUUUCGGCGGUUGGGGAUGGACUCGCGGCUUAUCAGCUUGUUGGUGGGGUAGUGGCUUACCAAGGCUUUGACGGGUAGCCGGCCUGAGAGGGUGACCGGCCACAUUGGGACUGAGAUACGGCCCAGACUCCUACGGGAGGCAGCAGUGGGGAAUAUUGCACAAUGGGUGGAAUCCUGAUGCAGCAACGCCGUGUGCGGGAUGACGGCCUUCGGGUUGUAAACCGCUUUCGCUCAUGACGAAGCUUUGUGUGACGGUAGUGGGUAAAGAAGCACCGGCUAACUACGUG
rnacentral:rRNA from 1 species